UACGUAGGGUGCAAGCGUUGUCCGGAAUUAUUGGGCGUAAAGAGCUCGUAGGCGGCUUGUCGCGUCGACUGUGAAAUCCCGCGGCUCAACUGCGGGUCUGCAGUCGAUACGGGCAGGCUAGAGUUCGGUAGGGGAGACUGGAAUUCCUGGUGUAGCGGUGAAAUGCGCAGAUAUCAGGAGGAACACCGAUGGCGAAGGCGGGUCUCUGGGCCGAUACUGACGCUGAGGAGCGAAAGCGUGGGGAGCGAACAGG
rnacentral:rRNA from 1 species